UACGGAGGGUGCAAGCGUUAAUCGGAAUUACUGGGCGUAAAGCGCACGCAGGCGGUCUGUUAAGUCAGAUGUGAAAUCCCCGGGCUCAACCCGGGAACUGCAUUUGAAACUGGCAGGCUGGAGUCCCGUAGAGGGGGGUGGAAUUCCAGGUGUAGCGGUGAAAUGCGUAGAGAUCUGGAGGAAUACCGGUGGCGAAGGCGGCCCCCUGGACGAAGACUGACGCUCAGGUGCGAAAGCGUGGGGAGCAAACAGG
rnacentral:misc_RNA from 1 species